rnacentral:rRNA from 1 species
CCUACGGGUGGCAGCAGUGGGGAAUAUUUGGCAAUGGAGGAAACUCUGACCCAGCAACGCCGCGUGAAUGAUGAAGGUCUUCGGAUUGUAAAGUUCUUUUCUAAGGGAAGAAGAAAGUGACGGUACCUUAGGAAUAAGCCUCGGCUAACUACGUGCCAACAGCCGCGGUAAUACGUAGGAGGCAAGCGUUAUCCGGAAUGACUGGGCGUAAAGGGUGCGUAGGUGGUUUGAUAAGUUGGUAGCGUAACUCCGAGGCUUAACCUCGGCACUGCUACGCAUACUGUCGGACUUGAGUGCAGGAGGGGCAACUAGAAUUCCACGUGUAGCGGUGGAAUGCGUAGAGAUUUGGAGGAACACCAGUGGCGAAGGCGAGUUGCUGGACUGUAACUGACACUGAGGUACGAAAGCGUGGGGAGCAAACAGGAUUAGAUACCCGGGUAGUC